GAUGAACGCUAGCGGCAGGCUUAACACAUGCAAGUCGAGGGGCAGCGCGAUGUAGCAAUACAUUGGCGGCGACCGGCGCACGGGUGCGUAACACGUAUGGAAUCUGCCCUGUACUGGAAGAUAACCCGGCGAAAGUCGGACUAAUAUCCCAUAAUAGCCGAGGUGGCAUCACCUUGGUUUGAAAGCUCCGGCGGUACAGGAUGACCAUGCGCACGAUUAGCUAGUUGGUGAGGUAACGGCUCACCAAGGCUACGAUCGUUAGGGGGCCUGAGAGGGUUAUCCCCCACACUGGUACUGAGACACGGACCAGACUCCUACGGGAGGCAGCAGUGAGGAAUAUUGCGCAAUGGAGGCAACUCUGACGCAGCCAUGCCGCGUGCAGGAAGAAGGCGCUACGCGUUGUAAACUGCUUUUAUCCGGGAAGAAACCCCAGGACGUGUCCUGGGUUGACGGUACCGGAGGAAUAAGCACCGGCUAACUUCGUGCC
rnacentral:rRNA from 1 species